UUGUACUACUGGCGAGGGUAGU
rnacentral:miRNA from 1 species